AUUGAACGCUGGCGGCAGGCUUAACACAUGCAAGUCGAGCGGAGUGAUGGUGCUUGCACUAUCACUUAGCGGCGGACGGGUGAGUAAUGCUUAGGAAUCUGCCUAUUAGUGGGGGACAACAUCUCGAAAGGGAUGCUAAUACCGCAUACGUCCUACGGGAGAAAGCAGGGGAUCACUUGUGACCUUGCGCUAAUAGAUGAGCCUAAGUCGGAUUAGCUAGUUGGUGGGGUAAAGGCCUACCAAGGCGACGAUCUGUAGCGGGUCUGAGAGGAUGAUCCGCCACACUGGGACUGAGACACGGCCCAGACUCCUACGGGAGGCAGCAGUGGGGAAUAUUGGACAAUGGGGGGAACCCUGAUCCAGCCAUGCCGCGUGUGUGAAGAAGGCCUUAUGGUUGUAAAGCACUUUAAGCGAGGAGGAGGCUCUUUUGGUUAAUACCCAAGAUGAGUGGACGUUACUCGCAGAAUAAGCACCGGCUAACUCUGUGCCAGCAGCCGCGGUAA
rnacentral:rRNA from 1 species